GAUGAACGCUAGCGGCAGGCUUAACACAUGCAAGUCGAGGGGUAACAGGGGAGCUUGCUUCUGCUGACGACCGGCGCACGGGUGCGUAACGCGUAUGCAACCUACCUUUUACAGAGGGAUAGCCCAGAGAAAUUUGGAUUAAUACCUCAUAGUAUUUCGGAUUCGCCUGAAUUUGGGAUUAAAGAUUUAUUGGUAAAAGAUGGGCAUGCGUCCUAUUAGCUAGUUGGUAAGGUAAUGGCUUACCAAGGCUACGAUAGGUAGGGGUCCUGAGAGGGAGAUCCCCCACACUGGUACUGAGACACGGACCAGACUCCUACGGGAGGCAGCAGUGAGGAAUAUUGGUCAAUGGGUGAGAGCCUGAACCAGCCAUGCCGCGUGCAGGAAGACGGCCUUAUGGGUUGUAAACUGCUUUUAUACAGGAAGAACAAGUUUCUCGUGAGGGACUUUGACGGUACUGUAUGAAUAAGCACCGGCUAACUCCG
rnacentral:rRNA from 1 species